GUGUGCGCUGGUACAUCGAUGAUGAAUUAUUAUUUUCCAAUCAGGAAGCGAAGAGAGCGUGCAUCCAUCCACGAAUAUCAAACACGUUGGAACUUUUUUUCCCAACUGAUUUCGUGUCCCAAUCCAACAACUAAAUCACCGUAAUUAACAUCUAUCCCCUCUUAAUUGCCCGUUUAAUGAAAUAAAGAGACAAAGAACUCCAUCACUCACCCUUGGAUUCCAAUCAAACGGAC
rnacentral:lncRNA from 1 species